rnacentral:rRNA from 1 species
GAUGAACGCUGGCGGCGUGCCUAAUACAUGCAAGUCGAGCGAACGGACGAGAAGCUUGCUUCUCUGAUGUUAGCGGCGGACGGGUGAGUAACACGUGGAUAACCUACCUAUAAGACUGGGAUAACUUCGGGAAACCGGAGCUAAUACCGGAUAAUAUUUUGAACCGCAUGGUUCAAAAGUGAAAGACGGUCUUGCUGUCACUUAUAGAUGGAUCCGCGCUGCAUUAGCUAGUUGGUAAGGGAACGGCUUACCAAGGCAACGAUGCAUAGCCGACCUGAGAGGGUGGUCGGCCACACUGGAACUGAGACACGGUCCAGACUCCUACGGGAGGCAGCAGUAGGGAAUCUUACGCAAUGGGCGAAAGCCUGACGGAGCAACGCCGCGUGAGUGAUGAAGGUCUUCGGAUCGUAAAACUCUGUUAUUAGGGAAGAACAUAUGUGUAAGUAACUGUGCACAUCUUGACGGUACCUAAUCAGAAAGCCACGGCUAACUACGUG